rnacentral:rRNA from 1 species
AGCGAACGCUGGCGGCAGGCCUAACACAUGCCAGUCGAACGAACCUUUCGGGGUUAGUGGCGGACGGGUGAGUAACACGUGGGAACGUGCCUUUAGGUUCGGAAUAACUCAGGGAAACUUGUGCUAAUACCGAAUGUGCCCUUCGGGGGAAAGAUUAAUCGCCUUUAGAGCGGCCCGCGUCUGAUUAGCUAGUUGGUUGAGGUAAUGGCUCACCAAGGCGACGAUCAGUAGCUGGUCUGAGAGGAUGAUCAGCCACAUUGGGACUGAGACACGGCCCAAACUCCUACGGGAGGCAGCAGUGGGGAAUCUUGCGCAAUGGGCGAAAGCCUGACGCAGCCAUGCUGCGUGAAUGAUGAAGGUCUUAGGAUUGUAAAAUUCUUUCACCGGGGACGAUAAUGACGGUACCCGGAGAAGAAGCCCCGGCUAACUUCGUG